rnacentral:rRNA from 1 species
AUGGCUGCGGCCGCCGACGUCGGGCAGCUCGCUGGCGCCGCCGCGGCCACGCUCCUCGCGGCGGUGCUCUUCGCCGCCGCGCUGGGGCGCCAGCGCCAGCGCCGCCGCCGCGGGGCUCCGGUCGAAGGGAUCCCCGCGCCGGACGACGGCUGCGCGGUCGCCGACGGCGCAGGGAGCGCGGCCGUGGACGGCCCGACGGACGUCAUCAUCGUCGGAGCCGGGGUCGCCGGAUCUGCCCUCGCGUACACGCUCGGAAAGGAUGGUAGACGGGUGCAUGUUAUAGAGAGAGACCUGACAGAGCCAGAUAGAAUUGUGGGCGAAUUGUUACAACCUGGAGGCUACCUGAAAUUGAUGGAAUUGGGUCUGCAGGACUGCGUUGAUGAAAUUGAUGCACAGCGUGUCCUUGGUUACGCGUUGUUCAAAGAUGGGAAGAACACAAAACUUUCUUACCCCUUGGAGAAGUUCCAUUCAGAUGUGGCUGGCAGGAGCUUUCACAAUGGACGGUUUAUUCAGAGGAUGCGUGAAAAAGCUGCGUCGUUACCCAAUGUCCAACUGGAGCAAGGAACAGUUACAUCUUUGCUUGAAGAAAAUGGUACAGUUAAGGGUGUGCAAUACAAGAUCAAGUCAGGUGAAGAACUAAAGGCUUAUGCACCAUUGACAAUUGUAUGUGAUGGCUGCUUUUCGAACUUAAGACGUGCCCUUUGCUCUCCAAAGGUUGAGGUGCCGUCUUGCUUUGUUGGCCUGGUCCUGGAGAAUUGUGAACUUCCUCAUGCGAACCAUGGCCAUGUUAUCUUGGCCAAUCCUUCUCCCAUCCUAUUUUACCCAAUAAGCAGCACCGAGGUUCGCUGUUUGGUAGAUGUCCCUGGUCAGAAGGUGCCUUCCAUAGCAAGUGGUGAAAUGGCAAAUUAUCUCAAGACCGUGGUUGCACCUCAGAUUCCUCCACAAAUCUAUGAUUCUUUUAUAGCAGCAAUUGAUAAGGGAAGCAUAAGAACAAUGCCAAAUAGGAGCAUGCCAGCUGCACCACAUCCAACACCUGGUGCACUUUUGAUGGGAGAUGCUUUCAAUAUGCGACACCCUUUAACAGGUGGAGGAAUGACUGUUGCAUUAUCAGAUAUAGUCGUCCUGCGUAAUCUUCUCAAGCCUCUUCGCAAUCUGCAUGAUGCCUCUGCCCUCUGCAAAUACCUAGAGUCAUUCUAUACUCUGCGGAAGCCGGUUGCUUCUACAAUAAACACAUUGGCUGGUGCUCUAUACAAAGUCUUCAGUUCCUCGCCUGACAAGGCUAGGGACGAGAUGCGCCAAGCUUGCUUUGAUUACUUAAGCCUUGGAGGUGUCUGUUCAAAUGGGCCCAUUGCUCUACUCUCUGGUCUUAAUCCUCGGCCAUUGAGUUUGGUUGCACACUUCUUUGCUGUUGCUAUCUUUGGUGUUGGACGGCUGAUGCUCCCCCUUCCUUCACCUAAACGAAUGUGGACCGGAGCGAGAUUGAUUUCGGGUGCAUGUGGUAUCAUCUUCCCAAUCAUCAAAGCUGAAGGUGUGAGGCAAAUGUUCUUCCCUGCUACCGUCCCCGCGUAUUACCGUGCACCUCCUGAAGCAGAGUUCUGA